GCAACUAAAUACCAACAACAAGUACUUUCUAGAAUCCGGACUUCCCCAGAACUGGUCCAUGCAAGUCCAUCUGCAUCAAGAGGCACUCUCGUGUCAAAGUCCAGGGCCUGGGUGGACUCCAAACCCCACUUGAGAUGUGGUGUUAGAGGUGAGAAAAUGUGCUUCCAGGGGGCAAUAUUUAUUUCACAUACGUCUCUAAAAAUAACUGCUAGUUUCUUGCUUGAAAAAGGAUGUUCAAUCAACACAUGGUUAUAUUUACAUGUCAAAUUUUCAUCAGUCUUUUCACAAUGGCCUUUCAAGGGAAAAGACUGAUGGGAACUUUUGAACACUAAGACCUCAUUUCUUUCUGAGGGUCUUCUGAGGAUGGAGCCCAGGCAGACCCAGAACACUAUGCUCCUGAAUCAUUACUUUAUGGGACGACCCUGUGGGUUCAGUGAUUGAGAAUCCACCUUGCAAUGCAGGAGACAUGGGUUCCAUCCCUGGUCAAGAACUAAGAUUCCCACAUGCUAUGGGGCAACUAGAAAGUCCAUGAGCCACAGCAAAGACUCAGCACAGCCCUACCUCAUCCCCUAAAAGAUUUCCUUGGUGGUGCAGUAGAUAGGAGUCCCAAUUUAUCUACUGCCAGUGCAGGAGGCUAGGGUUCGGUCCCUGGUCUGGGAAGAUUCCAUGUGCUGUGGAGUGGCUGGGUCAUUGCGCCACAGCUGUUGAGUUUGAGUUCUCGAGCCUGCAAGCUGCAACUACUGAGCCCAAGUGCUGGAGCUCUUAAAGCCUUAGUGCCUGGAGCCUGUGCUCCACAGCAGGACAGGCCACAAGGAUGAGAGCCUCCUGCACUGCAACGAAGAGUGGUCCCCCACUCGCCGCAACUAGAGAAAACCCGUGCGCAGCAGUGAAGACACGGUGCAGUCAGAAACAAAAUUGAAAAAAAAAAAAAAAAAAGAAUUAUCUCUUUCUGUCUUGGAGACCUGCCUCAUGAAACCCUCCUUCUUGCAUAGCAAGAGGAAAUUCCACUCACCCUGACUCCACUCACAUUUGUGGGAUUUUUCAUUUUCCUCUUUCCGAGGUAACUGUCUUUCUUCCAACCAACCCACUCCAUGUUGGCACCUCUUCUUUAUUUUGGUUUCUCAGAUAAAUGAAGGUCCUGCUCUUACA
rnacentral:lncRNA from 1 species